rnacentral:rRNA from 1 species
CGUGGAGACAGGUGGUGCAUGGCUGUCGUCAGCUCGCGUCGUGAGAUGUCGGGUUAAGUCCCGCAACGAGCGCAACCCCUGCCUUUAGUUGCCAUCAUUCAGUUGGGCACUCUAGAGGGACUGCCGGUGUUAAACCGGAGGAAGGUGGGGACGACGUCAAGUCCUCAUGGCCUUUAUGCCCAGGGCUACACACGUGCUACAAUGGGCGGCACAAAGGGAAGCGACGCCACGAGGUGUAGCAAAUCCCAAAAAACCGUUCUCAGUUCGGAUCGGAGUCUGCAACUCGACUCCGUGAAGUUGGAAUCGCUAGUAAUCGUGGAUCAGCAUGCCACGGUGAAUACGUUCCCGGGCCUUGUACACACCGCCCGUCACACCACGAAAGUCUGCUGUACUCGAAGUCGCUGAG